UACAUAGGUCUCAAGCGUUGUUCGGAUUCAUUGGGCGUAAAGGGUGCGUAGGCGGCGCCGUAAGUCGGGUGUGAAAUCUCGGAGCUUAACUCCGAAACUGCAUUCGAUACUGCGGUGCUUGAGGACUGGAGAGGAGACUGGAAUUCAUGGUGUAGCAGUGAAAUGCGUAGAGAUCAUGAGGAAGACCAGUGGCGAAGGCGAGUCUCUGGACAGUUCCUGACACUGAGACACGAAGGCCAGGGGAGCAAACGGG
rnacentral:rRNA from 1 species